rnacentral:lncRNA from 1 species
GAGAGUUCUUACUAGCAUGAAAGAAUAGUGGCACUCAGAAAUACCGUCAUGUCAGCAGUGAGCUCACAGUGGUUUAAACCAGUUCGACCGUGGUAAUAGAAAUAUUUGUGCUGUCUUUGGUGAACUUCGGGUCAGGCCUCUCUUUGGAAUAAACCUGUUAGAGGAACAGACCAAUUCCCUGAGCGACUGUAGCCCUUACAGCAAAUCAGCAGUUUGAAACGUGGAGCAGCGUGAAAAUCUACCCAAUCUCUCUCUUUCCCGGCUUCACAAGUGGGAGCUGUUGAUACCUGCAUAGCUGUUGGUACAAGGCAGAGCGGAAGAGCAUAGUAAGUUAAUAAUCUACAAGCAAUUCAGAAACGUCGAGGGCAGAGGCACUGACACUGGGGAAUCAUAUGUCUGCACCAAACGUCUAGUCGAUUGUUUACUUGGAGGGCUGAUGAAAAAAGGACUGAUGAACCUCUGAAACAACUCCUUGGCAGAGAACAUCUUAUUGGAAAACCUGAAGCUGAUCCUGCUGCAUCUUUGAAGAGAUUACAAACAGCAUUAUAUCCAGCUGCAACUUGCAUCCCUCACCUUCCAACCCAGAAAGGACUGACCUAGGACCAAAAGAGGGUUAAUGAUUCUCCAUUCCAAGGGGAAGUAAGUUCUCUCAAUUCUCUCAGAGAAAUAAGCAUAUAAUGUCCAAGAUAGUUAUCUUAUGAUGAGACAUAUGACUUACUGAGAAAUAUCCCUCUCUCUUCUUUAAUAUGAGAUGUAGAUUAUAUGAAAAAUUUAGAACAAACACCUAAUUUUUAAGAUAAUGAAGUCCCAAUUAAAAUGCCUAGGUUUGUUUUGAAAAUUGGGAUAGAUUUCUAAAGUAUAUAGAUGAUACCGGC